UACGUAGGGCGCAAGCGUUGUCCGGAAUUAUUGGGCGUAAAGAGCUCGUAGGUGGCUUGUCACGUCGGGUGUGAAAGCUUGGGGCUUAACUCCAGGUCUGCAUUCGAUACGGGCUGGCUAGAGGUAGGUAGGGGAGAACGGAAUUCCUGGUGUAGCGGUGAAAUGCGCAGAUAUCGGGAGGAACACCGGUGGCGAAGGCGGUUCUCUGGGCCUUGCCUGACGCUGAGGAGCGAAAGCGUGGGGAGCGAACAGG
rnacentral:rRNA from 1 species